UACGAAGGGGGCUAGCGUUGCUCGGAAUCACUGGGCGUAAAGCGCACGUAGGCGGACUCUUAAGUCGGUGGUGAAAUCCUGGAGCUCCAACUCCAGAACUGCCUUCGAUACUGGGAGUCUCGAGUCCGGGAGAGGGUGAGUGGAACUGCGAGUGUAGAGGUGAAAUUCGUAGAUAUUCGCAAGAACACCAGUGGCGAAGGCGGCUCACUGGCC
rnacentral:rRNA from 1 species